CCUACGGGCCGCAGCAGUGGGGAAUAUUGCACAAUGGGCGCAAGCCUGAUGCAGCCAUGCCGCGUGUAUGAAGAAGGCCUUCGGGUUGUAAAGUACUUUCAGCGGGGAGGAAGGUGUUGAGGUUAAUAACCUCAGCAAUUGACGUUACCCGCAGAAGAAGCACCGGCUAACUCCGUGCCAGCAGCCGCGGUAAUACGGAGGGUGCAAGCGUUAAUCGGAAUUACUGGGCGUAAAGCGCACGCAGGCGGUCUGUCAAGUCGGAUGUGAAAUCCCCGGGCUCAACCUGGGAACUGCAUUCGAAACUGGCAGGCUGGAGUCUUGUAGAGGGGGGUAGAAUUCCAGGUGUAGCGGUGAAAUGCGUAGAGAUCUGGAGGAAUACCGGUGGCGAAGGCGGCCCCCUGGACGGAGACUGACGCUCAGGUGCGAAAGCGUGGGGAGCAAACAGGAUUAGAUACCCUCGUAGUC
rnacentral:rRNA from 1 species